GAACACCAAACCCCAAUGAGGAGGAUUAGAGAAGAGAUUUUUGCUAUUCGAUAGACGCAAAUAUUUAAGGCCAACCAGAUGUCCAAUUGAUGAAGGUAUUUCCUCGAUCGCACUACCACUUAAGGCAAUCGACUCCAAAUUCUUCUUCUGCUCCCCAAAUUCUAGAAUCUUUUUCAGAUUUUUGCAAUUAUCUAGAUGCAACUUCUGAAGGCCAACCAGAUGUCCAAAGGAUAAAGGUACUUCCUCGAUCGCACUACCAAUUAAGUCAAUGAACGCCAAAUUCUUCAUCUGCUCCCCAAAUUCUGGAAUCUUUUUCAGAUUUUUGCAAUUAUUUAGAUACAACUCCUUAAGGCCAACCAGAUGUCCAAUUGAUGAAGGUAUUUCCUCGAUCGCACUACCACUUAAGACAAUCGACUCCAAAUUCUUCAUCUGCUCCCCAAAUUCUGGAAUCUUUUCCAGAUUUUUGCAAUUAUCUAGAUGCAACUCAUAAAGGCUAACCAGAUGUCCAAUUGAUGAAGGUAUUUCCUCAAUCGCACUACCACUUAAGGCAAUCAACUCCAAAUUCUUCAUCUGCUCCCCAAAUUCUGGAAUCUUUUUCAGAUUUUUGCAAUUAUCUAGAUGCAACACCUUAAGGCCAACCAGAUGUCCAAUUGAUGAAGGUAUUUCCUCGAUCGCACUACCACUUAAGACAAUCAACUCCAAAUUCUUCAUCUGCUCCCCAAAUUCUGGAAUCUUUUUCAGAUUUUUGCAGUUAUCUAGAUGCAACACCUUAAGGCCAACCAGAUGUCCAAUUGAUUAAG
rnacentral:lncRNA from 1 species